UGUCUCACAUCCAGGUAUGCUCGUCCGGUGUAUAGUUCGAUUUCGUCUUUUGUCUCUAAGGUUUUGUUUCUUAAAUUGUAGUUCUACUUACCAGAAACAUGUAAUGGGCCUCACAAACACCAUGGACUAUGGGGAAACCCUAAAAAUCUCCUUAAAAUAGCGCCAAUCUCCUCACUUCUGUCCUCAUCCUCUGGAUCUGGCAUGCAAAGUUAAAGAAAUUCAAUGGUCUAUUUCUUCUCGAGAGUCUUUAUCACUCAGAAAGGAAAACAAUGUGGUGGUAACAAAUGUCUCGGAAUCAGAGACAACUAUCCAAGUCGAUUCACCGGCUCAACAUGUCACGUCCUCAGCCUUACCUCCAGCAACGCCCAAUCUGAAGGCCAACAAGGUCAAACCUCCGUAUGCUGGGUCAGGAGAAUCAACUCAGCGCGCCAAAAAAGCGCACGAGGACUAACUUACCAACAACAAGUAUUUUGAUCGGCUGCACAUAAUGAAGACUAGGCAGCCAGAAGCCUAACCAAGCCAUUGCUAAGCUUACAUAGAUACACAACUUUUGUACAACUUAUCCACAUAACACACUAGGUGUUCGUUUGCUAAGUUGUAGACAACUCUAAACUGUUUUGUACAUAUUUCAUAUGUAGUAGGCAAUGUGACUAAUGCUAUGAUAU